ensembl:snRNA U1 U1 spliceosomal RNA
AUGCUUACAUGGGAGGGGAGGAACUAUGAUCGCGAGGGUGGUUUUGCCAGGGUGCGGCAUACUAUUGCCCUCUGGGUGUGCUGGUAUCUGCAGUUUCCCAAAAGUGGACACUCAACUGCAUAAUUUGUGUUAAUGGGGGCUGCAUUUGCACUAUCCCUUG